rnacentral:rRNA from 1 species
UACAGAGGUGGCAAGCGUUGUUCGGAAUUACUGGGCGUAAAGGGCGCGUAGGCGGCCUUCUAAGUCAGACGUGAAAUCCCCAGGCUCAACCUGGGAACUGCGUCUGAUACUGGAUGGCUUGAAUCCGGGAGAGGGAUGCAGAAUUCCAGGUGUAGCGGUGAAAUGCGUAGAUAUCUGGAGGAAUACCGGUGGCGAAGGCGGCAUCCUGGACCGGCAUUGACGCUGAGGAGCGAAAGCCAGGGGAGCAAACGGG